ACUGGGUAUAAUACCCGAUAGGUCUCGAUUGCUGGAAUGCAUCGAGAUUUAAAGCUCCGGCGCCUAAGGAUGGGUCUGCGGCCUAUCAGGUAGUAGUGGGUGUAGCGUACCUACUAGCCUACGACGGGUACGGGUUGUGAGAGCAAGAGCCCGGAGAUGGAUUCUGAGACACGAAUCCAGGCCCUACGGGGUGCAGCAGGCGCGAAAACUUUACAAUGCUGGCAACAGCGAUAAGGGAACCUCGAGUGCCAGGUUACAAAUCUGGCUGUCGAGAUGCCUAAAAAGCAUUUCAUAGCAAGGGCCGGGCAAGACCGGUGCCAGCCGCCGCGGUAACACCGGCGGCUCGAGUGGUAACCGUUAUUAUUGGGUCUAAAGGGUCUGUAGCCGGCCGGAUAAGUCUCUUGAGAAAUCUGGCAGCUUAACUGUCAGGCUUUCAGGAGAUACUGUCUGGCUCGAGGCCGGGAGAGGUGAGAGGUACUUCAGGGGUAGGGGUGAAAUCUUGUAAUCCUUGAAGGACCACCAGUGGCGAAGGCGUCUCACCAGAACGGACCUGACGGCAAGGGACGAAAGCUAGGGGCACGAACCGGAUUAGAUACCCGGGUAGUCCUAGCCGUAAACGAUACUCGCUAGGUGUCGGCCACGGUGCGACCGUUGUCGGUGCCGUAGGGAAGCCGUGAAGCGAGCCACCUGGGAAGUACGGCCGCAAGGCUGAAACUUAAAGGAAUUGGCGGGGGAGCACCACAACGGGUGGAGCUUGCG
rnacentral:rRNA from 1 species